rnacentral:lncRNA from 1 species
UGGCCAUGGGGUGUAGAUUGGCCUGAGCAAAUUUGGUGCCGGUGGAACGAAAGCCUUCAGAGGAGUUAGCGAAAUUCCAAUGUGUGCGGUUCCGCAAAAAAUGCGAAAUAGCCCUUUAACCGUACAUUUGACAGAUACGUGCGCAUAGACUUUUUUGUAGAUCUUAUUGAGAUACACGUGUGUGUCAAAUUUUAUGUCAAUAUGACAAAGCGUAUAGGCGUGACACUCAACAAUAUGUAUUUUCACCUUAGGGGACAAGAAAAAAUGGACUUUUUUCUCCUGCCAUGGGGGGGCGCUCUUUUGGGGAGUAAAAAUUCCUUCACAAAUGUGUUGAUGGCUGGACAUUGCAUCAUCCUAGAAAACUUGGAGGCCAGUGAGGACAAAAAUAAAAAGUUAUUAGACUUUUAAGAAUGUGGAUUUUUGGGUUAUCUUUGGCGCCCCCUAGAACGUAAACCGUGGGGUGCAGUGUCAUGAUUUGUACAACUUUUAAUGGCCAUGGGGUGUAGAUUGGCCUGAGCAAAUGUGGUGCCGGUGGAACGAAAGCCUUCGGAGGAGUUAGCGAAAUUCCACUGUGUGCGGAUCGGCAAAAAAUGCGAAAUAGCCCUUUAACCGUACAUUUGACAGAUACGCCCGCGCUGACUUUUUUGUAGAUCUUAUUGAGAUACACGUGUGUGUCAAAUUUUGUGUCAUUUUGACAAAGCGUACAGGUGUGACACUCAAUCAUGUGAAUUUUUCACCUUAGGGGGCGCUAUGGAGCCAUUUUGCAUUUGAUUGUUUGGGCGACUUCAGAAUAUCGAAUUUUUCACCAGGCCCGGUCGUCCUGCCAAAUUUCAUGAGUUUUCACCAGUGGGAAGUGGGCCAUUUUCCAGUUCAAAGGGGCAGAAAAAUAAUAAGACUAGGGCCCCGUUGGGGCACUGGCGGGCCCGAGCCGUGUCGCGCUGCCCCCAACACGACCGCCUCUCCCUACCGAUCGCGUCACACUCAAGGUCCAAAGAUGGUGUGCGCACUUGUCUGUGGUCAUUUACAAUUAUAAUGAAUGGGAGGCGCAGUUUCUACCAAAACGCUCGCCGCAGACAAACUACAUGUCCUAUUUGAAAAGGACUGGACCAUGAGUGAGGGCACAAACACAGCUAGGAUAUAUCCAAAUGGCAAGUUGCUCCUCCUUUCGGUUUUGCCGAGAGAGCGAUGUGUUUGAGUCAUUGAGCGAUGGGCAGGAAAAACUUGACUUUUUCUCCUGCCAUGGGGGGGAGCUCUUUUAGGGAGUAAAAAUUCCUUCACAAAUGUGUUGAUGGCUAGACAUUGCAUCAUCCUAGAAAACUUGGAGGCCAGUGAGGACAAAAAUAAAAAGUUAUAAGACAUUUAAGAAUGUGGAUUUUUGGGUUAUCUUUGGCGCCCCCUAGAACAUAAACCGUGGGGUGCAGCGUCAUGAUUUUUCAACUUUGAAUGGCCAUGGGGUGUAGAUUGGCCUGAGUAAAUUUGGUGUCAGUGGAACGAAAGCUUUAGGAGGAGUUAGCCACAUUCCAAUGUGUGCGAAUCGACCAAAAAUGCGAAAUAGCCCUUUAACCGUACAUUUUACAGAUACGCGCCCAUUGACUAUUUCGUAGAUCUUAUUGAGAAACACGUGAUUGUUAAAGUUUGUUUCAAUAUGACAAAGCGUACAGGCGUGACACUCAAUAAUGUGAAUUUUCACCUUAGGGGGGAAGAAAAACUGGACUUUUUUCUCCUGCCAUGGGGGGGCGCUCUUUUGGGGAGUAAAAAUUCCUUCACAAAUGUGUUGAUGGCUAAACAUUGCAUCAUCCUAGAAAACUUGGAGGCCAGUGAGGACAAAAAUAAAAAGUUAUACGACUUUUAAGAAUGUGGAUUUCUGGGUUAUCUUUGGCGCCCCCUAAAACGUAAACCGUGGGAUGCAGCGUCAUGAUUUGUACAACUUUUAAUGGCCAUGGGGUGUAGAUUGGCCUGAGCAAAUUUGGUGCCGGUGGAACGAAAGCCUUCGGAGGAGUUAGCGAAAUUCCAAUGUGUGCGGAUCGGCAAAAAAUGCGAAAUAGCCCUUUAACCGUACAUUUGACAGAUACGC